rnacentral:tRNA from 1 species
AAGGAUUUAAGUUAAAUUAAACUUGUAACCUUCAAAGUUAUUAAUAAAGAAAAAAAAUCUUUAAGCCUUA